rnacentral:rRNA from 1 species
UACAGAGGGUGCAAGCGUUGUUCGGAAUUACUGGGCGUAAAGGGCGCGUAGGCGGUUUACCAAGUCAGAUGUGAAAGCCCGGGGCUCAACCCCGGAAGUGCAUUUGAAACUGGUAGGCUAGAGUGCAGUAGAGAAUGGCGGAAUUCCCAGUGGAGAGGUGAAAUUCGUAGAUAUUGGGAGGAACACCGGUGGCGAAGGCGGCCAUUUGGGCUGUAACUGACGCUGAGGCGCGAAAGCGUGGGUAGCAAAC